AAAUGAUCAUCGUACAGGUCAUUACACCCACUAACACAUAAUACUCCACAUACAGAGAAAUCUCACAUUCACUUACAUCGAGAGACACCGACACACUUUAUUUUUCAACUGAUCGGGAUUAUUCAUGCAUAGAUAUAGACACACACACAGAAACUUGAGAAAAAAAGAAAAAGAAGAUCCAUCAAGAGAGGGAACAAAGAGAAAAAUAGAGAGAUCGAUUAAGACAGAGAGGAAAAAAGACAGACGUAGAGUGACUAUUUUCAGUGAGUUAUCGCCGAAAAUCCAGCGGAACUCCGUCCGGUUAACCAUCAAAAAAUGCCUCAGUCAUUAUUUAUCACUGUUCCGGCGAAAGCAGACGGGAAAUGACGGUUGCAGUACCAAUCUUCCCAAAAACUAACUUCAAACCGUAUAUGUGUUUGUAUUCCACUCGAAUUUUUCUGUUUUGUUGCUUUGGGAUUUAUUUUUCUUCGAGAAAUUACGUUUAAAUCUGAUUUUUGAGGGGUUUACGUUGUUGAUUUAUUUCAUUAUUUGUUGGUUUGGGGUUCGUGUUGAGUUUUUUUACUGGGUCAAAUCUGUCUGGGUUAUAUUUCUCGAUUCAAGUUUGUUUGUUCGCUUGUUGAGGCUGAUUCGAGGUUCUUCAAUGCGGAUUUUAUGUUUUUGAUAAGUGACACUUGAUUUCAAUCGUUAAUUGAGGUACAAAUCUACUCCUUUUCUCUUUUUAUUUUAUUAUUUAUUAUAUUCGAAGCAUCGAAUUUAGUAUUAUAUGUUUGUUUGAUCUGUGUUGAUGAAUAGUAAUUUGUUUUGAUUUGUUGUUAGUUUUCUUAUUUAUGAAUUGUGUGAUGAAAAUGAUGUCUCAUUAGAUAAUUAAAAUCAGUUAUUUAGGGUGGAAAUGGACGCUGAUAAAAAAUGAAUAUAAUUGUUUUGAUGAUGAUGGUUCCAUUUGAAACGAAUAUUAUUUUUGUCAAAUCUAAUAGUAUCAUGUCUUGAAUCAAAAUUUAAUAGGCAAAUCUUAGGUCGGGAAGGAUUGUGGAUUAUUCAAUGUUUGAAUGUGUUGAAAGACCUUUAUUUCAUCGCAACUAAUUUUUUUGUGCUCAUUUGGCUAGGAAAUGUCCUAAAGAAAAUUGUAUUUGUUAUUGGGGAAUGGCCCACGAUUCUUUGUACUCAGAAGAUCGAUCGUGAUCAAGGCCCGAGGCAUUGGGUAAAAUAUAGUUUUGAAUAGUUAGAAUAGUUUAGGUUUUAAUUUCAUCAUUUUUAUUUUGGUUUGUAAUAAAUUGGACUGGACACUAUUUUGGAGUUUUGACUAUUUGUUUUCGUGUGUUGUGUAUUUUGUUUGGUUUAU
rnacentral:lncRNA from 1 species